rnacentral:rRNA from 1 species
GAUGAACGCUGGCGGCGUGCCUAAUACAUGCAAGUCGAGCGAACAGACGAGGAGCUUGCUCCUCUGACGUUAGCGGCGGACGGGUGAGUAACACGUGGAUAACCUACCUAUAAGACUGGGAUAACUUCGGGAAACCGGAGCUAAUACCGGAUACUAUAUUGAACCGCAUGGUUCAAUAGUUAAAUACGGUUUUGCUGUCACUUAUAGAUGGAUCCGCGCCGCAUUAGCUAGUUGGUAAGGUAACGGCUUACCAAGGCAACGAUGCGUAGCCGACCUGAGAGAGUGAUCGGCCGCACUGGAGCUGAGACACGGUCCAGACGCCUACGAGAGGCAGCAGUAGGGAAUCUUCCGCAAUGGGCGAAAACCUGACGGAGCAACGCCGCGUGAGUGAUGAAGGUCUUCGGUGCGGAAAACUCUGUUAUUAGUGAAGAACAAAUGUGUAAGUAACUAUGCACGUCUUGACGGUACCUAAUCAGAAAGCCACGGCUAACUACGUG